rnacentral:rRNA from 1 species
AGUGAGCGCUGGCGGUAGGCCUAACACAUGCAAGUCGAACGGCAGCACAGUAAGAGCUUGCUCUUACGGGUGGCGAGUGGCGGACGGGUGAGGAAUACAUCGGAAUCUACUUUUUCGUGGGGGAUAACGUAGGGAAACUUACGCUAAUACCGCAUACGACCUACGGGUGAAAGCAGGGGAUCUUCGGACCUUGCGCGAUUGAAUGAGCCGAUGUCGGAUUAGCUAGUUGGCGGGGUAAAGGCCCACCAAGGCGACGAUCCGUAGCUGGUCUGAGAGGAUGAUCAGCCACACUGGAACUGAGACACGGUCCAGACUCCUACGGGAGGCAGCAGUGGGGAAUAUUGGGCAAAGGGCGCAAGCCUGAUCCAGCCAUACCGCGUGGGUGAAGAAGGCCUUCGGGUUGUAAAGCCCUUUUGUUGGGAAAGAAAAGCAGCAGGUUAAUACCCCGCUGUUCUGACGGUACCCAAAGAAUAAGCACCGGCUAACUUCGUG